UCCGGUUUGUCACCGGCGGUCUCCUUAGAGUUCCCGACUUGACUCGCUGGCAACUAACAACAGGGGUUGCGCUCGUUAUAGGACUUAACCUGACACCUCACGGCACGAGCUGACGACAACCAUGCAGCACCUUGUAAAUUGUCUUGCGAAAGAUCUGUUUCCAAACCGGUCAAUCUACAUCUAAGCCUUGGUAAGGUUCCUCGCGUAUCAUCGAAUUAAACCACAUGCUCCACCGCUUGUGCGGGCCCCCGUCAAUUCCUUUGAGUUUCGUUCUUGCGAACGUACUCCCCAGGUGGGAUACUUAUCACUUUCGCUUAGCCACUCAGGUUGCCCCGAACAGCUAGUAUCCAUCGUUUACGGCGUGGACUAC
rnacentral:misc_RNA from 1 species